GGGGGUUUAGCUCAGUGGCACCUCGCCUGCCUCGCAAGCAGGGGGUCCUGAGUUCAAUCCCCAGUACCCCCC
rnacentral:tRNA from 1 species